AACGCACCUUGCGCUCCUUGGUAUUCCGAGGAGCAUGCCUGUUUGAGUGUCAUGAAAACCAUCAACCCUGACUUUGCUCUUGCGAGUGUGGUCUGCGGCUUGGACUUGGGGGUGUUCUGCUGGUGCCGUGAGGCGUCGGCUCCUCCUGAAUGUAUUAGUGGUGGCCUUUGAGGUUCCUCUCGCGGCGUGAUAAUUAUUUCGUCUCGAUGGCCUCUUGAGUGGGACUCUGCUUCUUAACCGUCCGCACGGACAACCUCUUUCAAAUCUGACCUCAAAUCAGGUAGGACUACCCGCUGAACUUAA
rnacentral:rRNA from 1 species